UAGAAGUCAGGUCGGAUUAAGCCAUAGUACGGGAAAAACUAUGCUACCUGUGAGCCCCGUCCAAGGACGUUAAAAGAAGUCAGGCCACUACAAGUGCCAUAACUUGAGCAAAUUAUGCAGCCUGUAGCUCCACCUGGGAAGGUGUAAAAAAUCUGGGAGGCCACAAACCAUGGAAGCUGUACGCAUGGCGUAGUGGACUAGCGGUUAGAGGAGACCCCUCCCUUGCAAAUCGCAGCAACAAUGGGGGCCCAAGGUGAGAUGAAGCUGUAGUCUCACUGGAAG
rnacentral:lncRNA from 1 species